UACGUAGGGAGCAAGCGUUGUCCGGAAUCAUUGGGCGUAAAGCGCGCGUAGGUGGCCACGUAAGUCCGCUGUGAAAGUCAAAGGCUCAACCUUUGAAAGCCGGUGGAUACUGCAUGGCUAGAGUACGGAAGAGGCGGGUGGAAUUCCUGGUGUAGCGGUGGAAUGCGCAGAUAGUCAGGAGGAACACCAAUAGCGAAGGCAGCUCGCUGGGACGUUACUGACACUGGAGGCGCGGAAAGCGUGGGGAGCGAACAGGAAUUAGACUACCCCGUGUAG
rnacentral:rRNA from 1 species